rnacentral:rRNA from 1 species
ACCAGACUCCUACGGGAGGCAGCAGUGAGGAAUAUUGGUCAAUGGGCGGGAGCCUGAACCAGCCAAGUCGCGUGAGGGAAGACGGUCCUAUGGAUUGUAAACCUCUUUUGUCGGGGAGCAAAGAGGCCUCGUGAGGUCAAAAGCGAGAGUACCCGAAGAAAAAGCAUCGGCUAACUCCGUGCCAGCAGCCGCGGUAAUACGGAGGAUGCGAGCGUUAUCCGGAUUUAUUGGGUUUAAAGGGUGCGUAGGCGGGACGGUAAGUCAGCGGUAAAAAUGCGGAGCUCAACUCCGUCGAGCCGUUGAAACUGCAUCCCUUGAGUGCGCGAGAAGUAUGCGGAAUGCGUGGUGUAGCGGUGAAAUGCAUAGAUAUCACGCAGAACUCCGAUUGCGAAGGCAGCAUGCCGGCUCCACACUGACGCUGAGGCACGAAAGCGUGGGUAUCGAACAGGAUUAGAUACCCUCGUAC